rnacentral:rRNA from 1 species
AGUCGAACGAGUUCUCGUUGAUGAUCGGUGCUUGCACCGAGAUUCAACAUGGAACGAGUGGCGGACGGGUGAGUAACACGUGGGUAACCUGCCCUUAAGUGGGGGAUAACAUUUGGAAACAGAUGCUAAUACCGCAUAGAUCCAAGAACCGCAUGGUUCUUGGCUGAAAGAUGGCGUAAGCUAUCGCUUUUGGAUGGACCCGCGGCGUAUUAGCUAGUUGGUGAGGUAACGGCUCACCAAGGCGAUGAUACGUAGCCGAACUGAGAGGUUGAUCGGCCACAUUGGGACUGAGACACGGCCCAAACUCCUACGGGAGGCAGCAGUAGGGAAUCUUCCACAAUGGACGCAAGUCUGAUGGAGCAACGCCGCGUGAGUGAAGAAGGCUUUCGGGUCGUAAAACUCUGUUGUUGGAGAAGAAUGGUCGGCAGAGUAACUGUUGUCGGCGUGACGGUAUCCAACCAGAAAGCCACGGCUAACUACGUGCCAGCAGCCGCGGUAAUACGUAGGUGGCAAGCGUUAUCCGGAUUUAUUGGGCGUAAAGCGAGCGCAGGCGGUUUUUUAAGUCUGAUGUGAAAGCCCUCGGCUUAACCGAGGAAGCGCAUCGGAAACUGGGAAACUUGAGUGCAGAAGAGGACAGUGGAACUCCAUGUGUAGCGGUGAAAUGCGUAGAUAUAUGGAAGAACACCAGUGGCGAAGGCGGCUGUCUGGUCUGUAACUGACGCUGAGGCUCGAAAGCAUGGGUAGCGAACAGGAUUAGAUA